UACGAAGGGUGCAAGCGUUAUUCGGAAUCAUUGGGCGUAAAGCGUGCGCAGGCGGUGACGUAAGACAGGUGUGAAAUCCCCGGGCUUAACCUGGGAACUGCAUUUGUGACUGCAUCGCUGGAGUGCGGCAGAGGGGGAUGGAAUUCCGCGUGUAGCAGUGAAAUGCGUAGAUAUGCGGAGGAACACCGAUGGCGAAGGCAAUCCCCUGGGCCUGCACUGACGCUCAUGCACGAAAGCGUGGGGAGCAAACAGG
rnacentral:rRNA from 1 species